rnacentral:rRNA from 1 species
GCGAAUACCGGAGAAUGUUAUCACGGGAGACACACGGCGGGUGCUAACGUCCGUCGUGAAGAGGGAAACAACCCAGACCGCCAGCUAAGGUCCCAAAGUCAUGGUUAAGUGGGAAACGAUGUGGGAAGGCCCAGACAGCCAGGAUGUUGGCUUAGAAGCAGCCAUCAUUUAAAGAAAGCGUAAUAGCUCACUGGUCGAGUCGGCCUGCGCGGAAGAUGUAACGGGGCUAAACCAUGCACCGAAGCUGCGGCAGCGACACUGUGUGUUGUUGGGUAGGGGAGCGUUCUGUAAGCCUGUGAAGGUGGCCUGUGAGGGUUGCUGGAGGUAUCAGAAGUGCGAAUGCUGACAUAAGUAACGAUAAAGCGGGUGAAAAGCCCGCUCGCCGGAAGACCAAGGGUUCCUGUCCAACGUUAAUCGGGGCAGGGUGAGUCGACCCCUAAGGCGAGGCCGAAAGGCGUAGUCGAUGGGAAACGGGUUAAUAUUCCCGUACUUGGUGUUACUGCGAAGGGGGGACGGAGAAGGCUAUGUUGGCCGGGCGACGGUUGUCCCGGUUUAAGCGUGUAGGUGUGUGUUCCAGGUAAAUCCGGUUCACUUUAACACUGAGGCGUGACGACGAGGCACUACGGUGCUGAAGCAACAAAUGCCCUGCUUCCAGGAAAAGCCUCUAAGCAUCAGGUAACAUCAAAUCGUACCCCAAACCGACACAGGUGGUCAGGUAGAGAAUACCAAGGCGCUUGAGAGAACUCGGGUGAAGGAACUAGGCAAAAUGGUGCCGUAACUUCGGGAGAAGGCACGCUGACACGUAGGUGAAGUGAUUUACUCA